CGGCAAGACGGAAAGACCCCGUGAACCUUUACUAUAGCUUGACACUGAACAUUGAGCCUUGAUGUGUAGGAUAGGUGGGAGGCUUUGAAGCGUGGACGCCAGUCUGCGUGGAGCCAUCCUUGAAAUACCACCCUUUAAUGUUUGAUGUUCUAACUCGGCCCCGUGAUCCGGGGUGAGGACAGUGUCUGGUGGGUAGUUUGACUGGGGCGGUCUCCUCCCAAAGAGUAACGGAGGAGCACGAAGGUUAGCUAAUCACGGUCGGACAUCGUGAGGUUAGUGCAAAGGCAUAAGCUAGCUUGACUGCGAGAGUGACGGCUCGAGCAGGUACGAA
rnacentral:rRNA from 1 species